UACGGAGGGGGCUAGCGUUGUUCGGAAUUACUGGGCGUAAAGCGCGCGUAGGCGGACCUGCAAGUCGGGGGUGAAAGCCCGAGGCUCAACCUCGGAACUGCCUUCGAUACUGCGGGUCUCGAGUCCGAGAGAGGUGAGUGGAAUUCCUAGUGUAGAGGUGAAAUUCGUAGAUAUUAGGAAGAACACCAGUGGCGAAGGCGGCUCACUGGCUCGGUACUGACGCUGAAGCGCCGCUGCGUCGGGACGAAUCAGG
rnacentral:rRNA from 1 species